rnacentral:rRNA from 1 species
GACGAACGCUGGCGGCGUGCUUAACACAUGCAAGUCGAGCGGUGCGGCGAACGGGUGAGUAACGCAUUAGUAACUGCCCCCCUCUCUGGGAUAACAGUUGGAAACGGGUGCUAAUACCGGAUAGUGGGGGAUGACUCGGGGCCUCUCAGCUUGUUGGUGGGGUAGUGGCCUACCAAGGCGACGACGGGAAGCCGGCCUGAGACGGCGACCGGCCACAUUGGGCUGAGCGAAGGCCCAAACUCCAACGGGAGGCAGCGGUGGGGAAUAGUGCGCGAUGGGGGGAACCCUGAGGCAGCGACGCCGCGUGCGGGAGGACGGCCUUCCGGGUGUAAACCGCUUUCAGCCAUGACGCGGUAGUGGCAGAAGAAGCACCGGCUAACUACGUGCCAGCAGCCGCGGUAAUUC